CCUGGGGAGCCGUGCCGCCGCCGCCGCGCCUCGGCCGGGAAGCGAUGUAGGAGCCGCCAGGCCGUCCCCCGUCCUGCCCGGCCGGAGCCCCGCGGGCCGCCGCCGCCGCCGCCGCCGCCAUGAAGAAGCAGUUCAACCGCAUGAAGCAGCUGGCCAACCAGACCGUGGGCAGGGCCGAGAAAACAGAAGUCCUCAGUGAAGAUCUGUUACAGAUUGAGCGGCGCCUGGACACAGUGCGCUCCAUGUGCCACCAUUCCCACAAGCGUCUCAUGGCCUGCUUCCAGGGCCAGCAUGGCACCGACGCGGAGAGGAGACAUAAAAAACUCCCUCUGACAGCUCUCGCUCAGAAUAUGCAGGAAGCAUCAACUCAGCUGGAAGACUCUCUCCUGGGGAAGAUGCUGGAGACGUGUGGAGAUGCUGAGAAUCAGCUGGCUCUGGAACUCUCUCAGCACGAAGUUUUUGUGGAGAAGGAGAUUGUGGACCCUCUGUACGGCAUCGCAGAGGUUGAGAUUCCCAACAUCCAGAAGCAGAGGAAGCAGCUCGCCAAACUGGUGUUAGACUGGGACUCGGUCAGAGCCAGGUGGAACCAGGCUCACAAAUCUUCAGGAACCAACUUUCAGGGGCUUCCAUCAAAAAUAGAUACCCUAAAGGAAGAGAUGGAUGAAGCUGGAAAUAAAGUAGAACAGUGCAAGGAUCAACUUGCAGCGGACAUGUACAACUUUAUGGCCAAAGAAGGGGAGUACGGCAAAUUCUUUAUUACGUUAUUAGAAGCUCAAGCAGAUUACCAUAGAAAAGCAUUAGCAGUCUUAGAAAAGGCCCUUCCCGAGUUGCGAGCCCAUCAAGAUAAGUGGGCGGAGAAGCCCGCCUUUGGGACGCCUUUGGAAGAACACCUGAAGCGGAGCGGCCGUGAGAUCGCACUGCCCAUCGAGGCCUGCGUGAUGCUCCUGCUGGAGACGGGCAUGAAGGAGGAGGGCCUUUUCCGAAUUGGGGCUGGGGCCUCCAAGUUAAAGAAGCUGAAAGCUGCUCUAGACUGUUCUACUUCUCACCUGGAUGAGUUCUACUCUGACCCCCACGCUGUAGCAGGUGCUUUGAAGUCCUAUUUACGGGAGCUGCCUGAACCUUUGAUGACUUUUAAUCUGUAUGAAGAAUGGACACAAGUUGCGAGUGUACAGGAUCAAGACAAAAAACUUCAGGAUUUAUGGAGAACAUGUCAGAAGUUGCCACCACAAAAUUUUGUUAACUUUAGGUAUUUAAUCAAGUUCCUUGCGAAGCUUGCUCAGACCAGCGACAUUAAUAAAAUGACCCCCAGCAACAUUGCAAUCGUGUUAGGCCCUAACUUGUUAUGGGCCAAAAAUGAAGGAACGCUUGCUGAGAUGGCAGCUGCCACUUCCGUCCACGUGGUUGCAGUCAUCGAACCCAUCAUCCAGCACGCCAACUGGUUCUUCCCUGAAGAGGUGGAAUUUAAUGUGUCAGAAGCGUUUGUACCUCUCACCACCCCAAAUUCCAAUCACUCAUCCCACACUGGAAAUGACCCGGUCGACUCGGGGACCCUGGAGAGGAAGCGGCCUGCCAGCAUGGCGGUGAUGGAGGGGGACCUGGUGAAGAAGGAGAGCUUUGGUGUGAAGCUUAUGGACUUCCAGGCCCACCGGCGGGGUGGCACCCUAAAUAGAAAGCACGUAUCCCCUGCUUUCCAGCCGCCACUCCCGCCCACAGAUGGCAGCACCUUGGCUCCAGCGGGCCCAGAGCCCCCUCCCCAGAGCUCUAGGGCCGAGAGCAGCACAGGGGGUGGGACUGGCCCCUCCUCUGCGGGCAUUCUGGAGCAGGGGCCCAGCCCGGGCGACAGCAGUCCUCCAAAGCCCAAGGACUCUGCGGCUGCCCCCGCGCCCGGGAGGAACAGCAGUCAGGCGGCCCCCGGCCCAAGCCAGGCCCAGGCAGCUGCCGGCUCCCAUCAGCUCUCUGUGGGCCCCGCGCACAAUUCCGCCGGCCCGAGCCCUCACACCGUGCGCCGAGCUGUUAAAAAACCUGCUCCAGCACCCCCGAAACCAGGAAACCCGCCUCCUGGCCAUCCGGGGGGCCAGAGUUCUCCAGGAACAUCUCAGCACCCACCCAGCCUGUCGCCAAAGCCGUCCACCCGCAGCCCUUCUCCCCCGACCCAGCCCCCAGGCCAGGCCCCGGGCCAGCCCUGCGCCACCUCACAGCUCUCGGCACCACGGAGGUACUCCAGCAGCCUGCCUCCGAUCCAAGCCCCCAACCACCCGCCGCCGCAGCCCCCGACGCAGGCCGCAUCGCCAUCGGCGCUCACCAAGCCCGGCAGCCAGGGCCCACCGGCGCCCGGGGCGCCCGGUGAGCCUGGACUCGAGCAGUCGUCCCACACCCCUCCCCAGACUCCGACGCCCCCCAGCACUCCGCCCCUCGGAAAACAGAACCCCGGCCAGGCGGUGAGUAACCCAGAGACCGCACAGCCACACGCUGGAACCUUACCGAGACCGAGACCAGUACCAAAGCCAAGGAACCGGCCCAACGUGCCCCCGCCCCCUCAUCCUCCCGGCGCGCACGCCGGGGAUGGCAACCUCAGCAUCGCAGCUCCCACCGCCUCCAAAAUAGUCACAGAUGCCCUUCCUAGCGCCCUCACAGGUGGGGAAGGUUUCCAGGAGUAAGAUGUAUGACCUGCCAUAUUCAGUAAGAACUGAAAUUGGAAUAUUUAAUGACACCAAUUCUAGGGUUUCAGAACCGCUUCGCAGCAUCUUUCCUGAAAUGCAAUCAGACUCAGCCAGCAAAGACCUGCCUGGCCGCAUUCUGUUGGAUAUGGACAAUGAUACAGAAAGCACUGCCCUGUGAAGAAAGCCAUGCCCCACCCUUGACCCCUUCCACCCUGGCGAGUGGAGCAGGGGCAGGCAGAUGUUAAUCUUCAUAGACCAAACAGUGAGAAGCUUUCAGUGAAGGGGAAAAAAGAAAGGCCUCACCAUGCUGGACUUGGCCUUCUCACAGCCCCAGGAGAGAGCAGAGGCUGACACUUAAAGCUGGAUGACCUGUGUCUUGAAGAAGUUGGCUUUUUUUACAUGGGAAAGAAUCAUGCCAAAAAAAAAAAUUUUUUUUUUUUUAAGAGAGAUACCAACAGUGGAAGUGUAUCAUUGCUGAGACACGUGUUGGAAGCUUUUGUCCCUGUUGUUCACACAGGCAGCACCACCGGCAACUUGGAAUGAGCAAAGAGCCUUGCAUUAACACUCUAUUUAAUGACGUACAUCCAUUAUGCUCACCUACUUCCUGCUGCUUGGACUUUCCUUCUCAUCUAUCACAAGGGAGUUUCCUCUCCUUCAGACAUGCUGCAGAAUCAUUUUGUAUGAAGUAUGGUCUGUGUCUCCCCGACCCCUCAGAACCACGAGCAUUGGGGGUGACUGCUGGAUCCGUCACCUCAGCAAACUGGAUCGCCUUGUGCCUUGUUGGAUUGCCAGAAUGUAGACAGAAAUGUACUGUUCUUUUUUUUUUUUUUUUUAAACAAUGUAAUUGCUACUUGAUAAGGACCGAACGUUAUUCUAGUUUCAUGUUUAAUUUGAAUUAAAUAUAUUCUGUGGUUUAUAUGAAAACUAUCAUUCUUGCAGGCAAAACUGUG